UCGAGGAUCUUCGUCAAUGGGCGAAAGCCUGAACGAGCGACGCCGCGUGCGCGAUGAAGGCCUUCGGGUUGUAAAGCGCGAAAGUGGGGAUAAAACCGCAAGGUUGAUUGAUCCACAGUAAGGACGGGCUAAGUUCGUGCCAGCAGCCGCGGUAAGACGAACUGUCCAAACGUUGUUCGGAAUCACUGGGCUUAAAGGGCGCGUAGGCGGUCGAUCAAGUCAGGGGUGAAAUCCUGCAGCUUAACUGUAGAAGUGCCUUUGAUACUGGUCGUCUUGAGGGAGGUAGGGGUGUGUGGAACUUCCAGUGGAGCGGUGAGAUGCGUUGAUAUUGGAAGGAACGCCGGAGGCGAAAGCGACGCACUGGACCUCUUCUGACGCUGAGGCGCGAAAGCUAGGGGAGCAAACGG
rnacentral:rRNA from 1 species